rnacentral:rRNA from 1 species
AGGACGCUGGCGGCCUGCCUCCACCUUCAGUCGAGCGGACAGAUGGGAGCUUGCUCCCUGAAGUCAGCGGCGGACGGGUGAGUAACACGUGGGCAACCUGCCUGUAAGACUGGGAUAACUCCGGGAAACCGGGGCUAAUACCGGAUAAUUCUUUCCCUCACAUGAGGGAAAGCUGAAAGAUGGUUUCGGCUAUCACUUACAGAUGGGCCCGCGGCGCAUUAGCUAGUUGGUGAGGUAACGGCUCACCAAGGCAACGAUGCGUAGCCGACCUGAGAGGGUGAUCGGCCACACUGGGACUGAGACACGGCCCAGACUCCUACGGGAGGCAGCAGUAGGGAAUCUUCCGCAAUGGACGAAAGUCUGACGGAGCAACGCCGCGUGAGUGAUGAAGGUUUUCGGAUCGUAAAACUCUGUUGUUAGGGAAGAACAAGUACCGGAGUAACUGCCGGUACCUUGACAGUACCUAACCAGAAAGCCACGGCUACUACGUGCAAGCAGCGCGGUAAUACGUAGUGGCAUGCGUUGUCUGAAUUAUUGGGCGUAAGCGGCGCAAGCGGUUCUUAAGUCUGAUGUGAAGGCCCCCGCUCCACUGGGAGGUCAUUGACUGGGCACUUGAGUGCAAAAAAAAGGUGAUCCGGUAACGGUGAAAUGCGUAAGAGUGGGAGAACACAUGCGGAGGGCACUCUUUGUUCUGUACUGAGCCUGGGGCGAAGGGUGGAACAACAGAUUAUUUCCUGGAUAUCACCGUAACAUUGGUCUAUGUUAAGGUUUCCUUAUGUGUCCCACACAUAGACUCUCUGGGAGGCGCAAGUAAAACCAGUUCGGCCAAGUGGACUGU